rnacentral:rRNA from 1 species
AUUGAACGCUGGCGGCAGGCCUAACACAUGCAAGUCGAACGAGUGGCGGACGGGUGAGUAAUGUCUGGGAAACUGCCUGAUGGAGGGGGAUAACUACUGGAAACGGUAGCUAAUACCGCAUACUAUCGGAUGUGCCCCUAUGGGAUUAGCUAGUAGGUGGGGUAAAGGCUCACCUAGGCGACGAUCCCUAGCUGGUCUGAGAGGAUGACCAGCAAAACGGGGAAGUAGAAAAGGUCCAGACUCCUACGGGAGGCAGCAGUGGGGAAUAGUGCAAAAUGGGCGCAAGCCUGAUGCAGCCAUGCCGCGUGUGUGAAGAAGGCCUUAGGGGUGUAAAGCACUUUCAGCGGGGAGGCGUUACUCGCAGAAGAAGCACCGGCUAACUCCGUGCCAGCAGCCGCGGUAAUUC